CGGAGGAUCCAAGCGUUAUCCGGAAUCAUUGGGUUUAAAGGGUCCGUAGGCGGUUUUAUAAGUCAGUGGUGAAAUCUGGUCGCUCAACGAUCAAACGGCCAUUGAUACUGUAGAACUUGAAUUACUUGGAAGUAACUAGAAUAUGUAGUGUAGCGGUGAAAUGCUUAGAGAUUACAUGGAAUACCAACUGCGAAGGCAGGUUACUACAAGUAUAUUGACGCUGAUGGACGAAAGCGUGGGGAGCGAACAGGAUUAGAUACCCUGGUAGUCCACGCCGUAAACGAUGGAUACUAGCUGUUUGGAGCAAUCUGAGUGGCUAAGCGAAAGUGAUAAGUAUCCCACCUGGGGAGUACGCUCGCAAGAGUG
rnacentral:rRNA from 1 species